UGUCUCUUGCCUUAGUCCUCCCAGGAGCUUAUGAGAAACCCCAGGUCCUUCCGGUCAUCUCCCAUCUUUGCGUUCCUCGGCCCGGGGCCGACGCCGGCGAAGUUUCGAUUCGGGAGGUCAGACAGGCGUCAGAAUCGCAUCUCUCUUCAGCAGCAUCCGAUCGGAUGUCUUUUUAGGUCUUGUUCUCAGCUGUGUUGACAGCUGUAUGCAGUAAUCUUUCUUUACAGUGGAUAAGGACUUGUGCCGAUUCAAAGGCAGGCAGAGGCUUCCAGCCACAGGAUUCUCAGGCAUCCGUCUCCGCGGUUCUCGGAAUAAGUCGUUCCGUUAGCAUCUUUUUCCUCCGGGGUCAUCCGAGCCCGGCGGGCUCGCCUUCGGUCCCAUCUCGGUCAUCUCGUUCAGCAUUUUCUUGGUCCUUGUGAGGACUUUCUCGUCUCAGAGAGUUUUCUCUCCCUGUCGUGUCCCCUCGUCUCACGUGUCACGGGUGUCUGGGGGUAUUCGGUCCGGAACUGCUCUGCCCUGCCGCCCGGCCCCGUUGCAGGUGUUCAAGGACAAGUCCUGGGCACUUGUAAUUGGAGACUCGUAAUAUGGGCUGUAGUUGGAGUCUAGGUAGUAUUCUUAUGUUGGCAGAAGGUGUCUGGAGCUGUGAAGUUACCCUGCAGCACUUUGACUAUUUUCCUAACUUUCUUUCAGAUGCGGAUGGAUCGACCUCCCGGCAGAGCGCCUCGUCCCAGAUGAGGGGAUCCCCCCGAGAAGGAAGUAAAGCCGGAUAGCAGCAGUGAAGGCGAAGCAUUGUGAAGGUGGUCUACUUGCAAGAUAUCCCAGCCCAGGAUGCCAGAGGACAGGUUCCGUGCAGAGAGGCAGAGCCGAAGUUUGCGAUCGGCCGCACCGAAGCCGGCGCGGGGGACGUCUCGAUGUACGCAUCCUAUCGAGGAUGGGUCUUGUCCUAUUACGUUACAAAAGGUCUCUGAUGCCUAUUUUCUGAGGAUCUACCAUUUGAUGUUGAGAAGCAGCAGCGAGAAGAUGUCUCGGGGCAUUUUGUUCAGCACAGUGUUUCAAAUAAGGGUUGCGGUCACUGUGUGAGUUAGAGUCUCCUGCUGUGUGUCAGGGCGUGUCUGUCUGUGAGAGUUGGUGGGUCUGGGUGUGCUUGUGUGUGUGCGUGUUGUGCGGUUCUAACCUUGUGUGUAUUGCUUUUGCUUUUCAGGACUUUAAAUUCACUUUUAAAUUUAGAAUAAAAAAUCCCCAGCUGGGGGGGUUUUUUUUUUUUCCCUCCCAGCUGGGGUUUUUUUUCCUCGGUCCCGGCCGGUCUGCGAGGCGACAGUCAUCGCCUAAGUUUGGGCACGGACCGGCCCCGGACCGGGGUUUUCGUCAGGCAGGCUGAUUUUUGAGGCCCCUGGGAACUGUGUUCCCGUGGGGUAGGAGGGGGGGGUGUGUGUUGUGGGGUUCUAACCUUGUGUGUAUUGCUUUUCAGGACUUUAAAUUCACUUUUAAAUUUAGAAUAAAAAAUCCCCAGCUGGGGGGGUUUUUUUUUUUUCCCUCCCAGCUGGGGUUUUUUUUCCUCGGUCCCGGCCGGUCUGCGAGGCGACAGUCAUCGCCUAAGUUUGGGCACGGACCGGCCCUGGACCGGGGUUUUCGUCAGGCAGGCUGAUUUCGAGGCCCCCGGGAACCAAGUUCCCGUGGGGUAGGAGGGGUGUGUGUUGUGGGGUUCUAACCUUGUGUGUAUUGCUUUUCAGGACUUUAAAUUCACUUUUAAAUUUAGAAUAAAAAAUCCCCAGCUGGGGGGGUUUUUUUUUUUUCCCCUCCCAGCUGGGGUUUUUUUUCCUCGGUCCCGGCCGGUCUGCGAGGCGACAGUCAUCGCCUAAGUUUGGGCACGGACCGGCCCCGGACCGGGGUUUUCGUCAGGCAGGCCGAUUUCGAGGCUCCCGGGAACCACGUUCCUGAGGACCGCCAAUGGCAGGGUUAUAACGGGGCGGUCGAGAGGAGAGCGAAGGUGAGCGUGUGUGUGAGCAGAAGCCGGCUUCUGUGGCGAAUGAGUAUUGUGUUUUCUGCGUGCUCGUUGUGGUUUGGGGGAGCAGUAAUAAUGAAACAGCAUGUAUUGUCCUUUUCAGAAAUGGUUAUAUUACGUUAAUAUGUAUUUGGCUUGUACUGUUCUGUAUUUGCUGCUGUGUUUCUCUGUAUUGCUCUGUAUCUGAAUUAGGAGUUUUUCAGCGUGUACAGCAAUUGUAUUGUAUUGUAAUGCAUUUGUAUCCAGUUUCUAUGUGUUUUUCUGUACUGUAAAUAAAUUCAUUCAAUAAAGUUGCCUCACCCCUAAUAAAGAUGAUCCCCCCCACCCCCUCCUCCCCAACCCCUGUGUCUUUGGUGUGGUGUAGUCAUUAUUUUCAUUCUAUUUCUUGCUUUUCUGUCUCUUUCUAACCUUAUUUCUGUCUGUCACUUCCUCUAUUUUUCUGUUUCUUUGCUCUCUGACUCCAACCCUUUAUUUUCCCUCCAACUCUGUUUCCUUUCCUUCUAGCUCCGAGUUAGACAGACAGCAAAUGGAGUCGAUUCCUUUCCACUGUAACUCAGUUCCAGUGAACAGGAAUCGUCUCUGUUUCCUU